GCCUGAGUGGCACAGUCAGUUAAGCAUCUAACUUCGGCUCAGGUCGUGAUCUCACGGUUUGUGGGUUCGAGCCCCACAUCAGGCU
rnacentral:tRNA from 1 species